rnacentral:rRNA from 1 species
GACGAACCGAGCGAACGUUGUUCGGAAUCACUGGGCUUAAAGGGCGCGUAGGCGGGCCGCCAAGUUCGAGGUGAAAUCCUCCGGCUCAACCGGAGAACUGCCUCGAAUACUGGAGGCCUCGAGGCGGGUAGGGGCACGCGGAACUGUGGGUGGAGCGGUGAAAUGCGUUGAUAUCCACAGGAACUCCGGUGGCGAAGGCGGCGUGCUGGACCCGAUCUGACGCUGAGGCGCGAAAGCCAGGGGAGCAAACAGG